UUGGGCUGGGCAGUCCUCUGUGGCAUUUUUCAAUGCCCAUCAGUCCAGCCUGGCUUACCAUGCCCUGCAGGACUUCUGGGACCACCAUGCCCCUGUGACCUCCAGAUCUCUGUUUGGGACAUUUAGUUCAUAAAAAUGCAUUGAAGGCCUACUGUGUGCGGGGCACUGUGCCCACGGAAAUGAAACCCUCUUCUCUACUGGAAGCAGGCCCAAGGGUUCAGGUCCCAGGUGAGCAUCAGUGCCCUUCCCACCAGUGCCCCCUCACCACUGCCAGUGGAGUUUCCAUUGCCUUUUUGAAGAUAAAAAAUAAAGGAGACAUCAAGGGGCUGAGCGACUUGCCAAGUUCACAUAGGGAGGUGUUGGUGGCUGAAAAUUUGGGGACACAUUUUUCCACCACUCUGGUAGAGGCAAAAAUGAGUGAAUCAGCAGAGGCUGAGGGUGACCAAGGCAGCCUCCGUUGGUGAGCUCAGCAUUCCCUAUUUGCUUGUCUGCAGCCAUCUCUUCUCACUCCCCUUGUGACUUGGCUGAAGCCAUUCUUCACAUGUGGAAUAAUCCAGAGCCAUCCCCUGGCCCCUGUUUUCCUUCUGUGCUCUCUGUCUGCCUCUCCAGCUUCAUCGUCUCCCUUGUCUUUUCCCAUUCUGAUCUCAUUCUAACUUUGCUGUUUCUUCAGCUCAUCAAACUCAUUUCUGUCUUGGGCCUUUAUGCUUGAGCUCAUCUGCACAGAGCUCUCUUCUGAUGUGUGUAUGUGGCUGGUCCUGGACAGAUAAAGGGUCCAUUAGAUUUGCAUGAUUUCCUGCUGCCCAUGCUUCUGAACACCUUACCUCUCUCUCCUUUCUUUUUAUUAUUAUUAUUUUUUUCUUUUGAGACGGAGUCUCGCUCUAUCGCCCAAGCUGGAGUGCAGUGGCCCGAUCUCGGCUCACUGCAAGCUCCGCCUCCCGGGUUCAUGCCAUUCUCCUGCUUCAGCCUCCCGAGUAGCUGGGACUACAGGCGCCCACCACACACCCAGCUAAUUUUUUUGUAUCUUUAGUAGAGAUGGGGUUUCACUGUGUUAG
rnacentral:lncRNA from 1 species